rnacentral:rRNA from 1 species
UACGAAGGGUGCAAGCGUUACUCGGAAUUACUGGGCGUAAAGCGUGCGCAGGCGGUUGUGCAAGUCCGAUGUGAAAUCCCCGGGCUUAACCUGGGAACUGCAUUGGUGACUGUACGGCUAGAGUGUGUCAGAGGGGGGUAGAAUUCCACGUGUAGCAGUGAAAUGCGUAGAGAUGUGGAGGAAUACUGAUGGCGAAGGCAGCCCCCUGGGAUAACACCGACGCUCAUGCACGAAAGCGUGGGGAGCAAACAGG